rnacentral:rRNA from 1 species
CAGGGUACUCGAGUGGCGAACGGGUGAGUAACACGUGGGUGAUCUGCCCUGCACUUCGGGAUAAGCUUGGGAAACUGGGUCUAAUACCGGAUAGGAACCAUCUUUAGUGUGGUGGUUGGAAAGUUUUUUCGGUGUAGGAUGAGCUCGCGGCCUAUCAGCUUGUUGGUGGGGUAAUGGCCUACCAAGGCGGCGACGGGUGGCCGGCCUGAGAGGGUGUACGGCCACAUUGGGACUGAGAUACGGCCCAG